rnacentral:rRNA from 1 species
UCGGGAAUUUUGGGCAAUGGGGGAAACCCUGACCCAGCAACGCCGCGUGAAGGAUGAAGUAUUUCGGUAUGUAAACUUCGAAAGAAUAGGAAGAAUAAAUGACGGUACUAUUUAUAAGGUCCGGCUAACUACGUGCCAGCAGCCGCGGUAAUACGUAGGGACCAAGCGUUGUUCGGAUUUACUGGGCGUAAAGGGCGCGUAGGCGGCAUGACAAGUCACUUGUGAAAUCUCCGGGCUUAACUCGGAACGGCCAAGUGAUACUGUCACGCUAGAGUAUUGGAGGGGCAAUCGGAAUUCUUGGUGUAGCGGUGAAAUGCGUAGAUAUCAAGAGGAACACCUGAGGUGAAGACGGGUUGCUGGCCAAAUACUGACGCUGAGGCGCGAAAGCCAGGGGAGCAAACGGGAUUAGAUACCCCCGUAGUCCCUGAGCGGGCUGGCAAGGCGCAU